AUUGAACGCUGGCGGCAGGCCUAUAAAAUGCAAGUCGAACUAGUAGCAGAAGGGUGAGUCAUGUCUGGAAAACUGCCUGAUGGAGGGGGAUAACUACUGGAAAAGGUAGCUAAUACCACAUACGAUCAGAUGUGCCCAGAUGGGAUUCGCUUGUUGGUGGGGUAACGGCUCACCAAGGCGACGAAACCUAGCUGGUCUGAGAGGAUGACCAGCCACACUGGAACUGAGACACGGUCCAGACUCCUACGGGAGGCAGCAGUGGGGAAUAUUGCACAAUGGGCGCAAGCCUGAUGCAGCCAUGCCGCGUGUAUGAAGAAGGCCUUCGGGUUGUAAAGUACUUUAAGCGGGGAGGCGUUACCCGCAGAAGAAGCACCGGCUAACUCCGUGCCAGCAGCCGCGGUAAUAC
rnacentral:rRNA from 1 species